GUUCCAUCGACCCGUUUAUGACCGGCCUGUUUAUGAUCCGGCCCGUUGGUGACCGGCCCGUUUUGCCACCCCUAGUCCGCAGGUGGCGAGUGGGGGAAAUGAACGUUGGCAGCGAUGAAGGCCACCAAGGUAACGUCAAUGAGGGCGACACCCUACCAUGACCAAGAGAAAAAUGUGGGCCGGUCUCCGGUUGUUCGAGGCCGAAGCCGUCGUUGGCAUCAGAGCGGCACGGGCAGUGCAUUGGUUGCGGUAGUGGCGCUCCUCUUCUCCACCGCCGCUUGGCUUUCACUUGUAUUCUCUGGCACCACCACCCGUUGUUGGCACCGUUUAAAGGAUUGGGAAGGCAGCCCCCAAUCCUUUCCCUGGAGAAGCCUCCACUCUGAUCAUCUUACCCGAUCCGAUUCUUCUGCCUCUCAGUCUCACUACAAUAAUCGAAGUGGGGCCGGUGGUGGUGGUGACGGCACGCAAUUGGAGGAGGAGUUGUCAUUGAAGCACAUCGUUUUCGGCAUAGCUGGAUCCUCGCAGUUUUGGAAACGGCGGAAGGAGUUCGUAAGGCUGUGGUGGCGUCCGGACAUCAUGCGCGGUCACGUCUGGUUAGAAGAGCAAGUGGCUCGCGAGGACGGGGACGAUACGUUGCCGCCCAUCAUGGUCUCUGAGGACAUCUCCCGCUUCCGUUACACAAAUCCCACCGGUCACCCCUCUGGUCUACGCAUCUCCCGCAUUAUCACCGAGUGUUUCCGCCUGGGAUUACCUGAUGUCCGCUGGUUCGUCCUGGGCGAUGACGACACCCUUUUUAAUGCGGAUAAUCUUGUUGCUGUUCUCAGUAAGUACGAUCCGUCCGAGAUGGUUUACAUCGGUGGCCCAUCCGAGAGUCAUUCUGCUAAUACAUACUUUAGUCACUCUAUGGCCUUCGGCGGUGGGGGAAUCGCUAUAAGCAAUUCCUUAGCCAAGGCCUUGUCGAAGAUUCAAGACGAUUGUCUUGAGCGGUAUCCGAAAUUGUAUGGAAGCGAUGAUCGACUCCAUGCUUGUAUCAUGGAACUUGGCAUUCCUUUAACCAGAGAACAUGGCUUUCACCAGUGGGAUAUUAGGGGGAACGCACACGGUCUGUUAUCUUCUCACCCAAUCGCACCAUUUGUUUCAAUUCACCAUGUUGAAGCUGUUGAUCCCUUCUAUCCUGGAUUGAGCUCUCUGGAGAGUUUGAAACUAUUUUCGAGAGCCAUGAGAGUUGACUCCAGGAGCAUUUUGCAGCGAUCCAUUUGUUAUGAUCAUGCCCGGCGUUUAACCUUUUCAGUUUCACUUGGUUAUGUUGUUCAAGUUUUCCCUAACAUUGUGCUCCCUCGUGAGCUGGAACGCUCAGAACAGACCUACUCUGCUUGGAACAGAAUUAAUCACAGAAAUGAAUUUGAUUUAGACACCAGGGAUCCUUACAGAUCUGUUUGUAAAAAACCAAUCCUCUUUUUCUUGAACAAUAUGGGAAGAGAGGGGAACAAUACAUUGGGUUCAUAUGGACGGGCAAGAGGAAAAGAUGAUUUGAAGAGGAAAGUCUUCUGCUUUCCUCAUUCGCCGCCGUUGCACCAUGUGGAAAAUAUUCUUGUGCUUGGGCACCCAUUAAGCAAGAACUGGCAUUUGGAAAAAAAUAUUUUGACUAGGUGCCACGAAGGUUAUGCUGCAAGCUUAAUGGUACCCUCAAUGAACUCCUCAGAUUAACAGUUGGACAGUGUGAGAAGGAGGUUUUCAGUUCUGUUGCUGAUUCUCUGUGAAAUGUUAACUUAUGGUGACUUGCCCUUCCUUCUGAAUGCGAAGCUCAGUCUAAAAGAUGGGCCUCUGUCAACUCUCAAAUGAUGAUCUGCAUUUUGACAACUCUUUCUUACAUAUUGUGGAUAUGCAAGGGUCUCACUUUACACAGUUGAGUCAAAGAUGAGCAAGAGCUUAGGGGUUAUAUUCUUUGCAUUACUUUCUGUUCAAAAGAUUUUUAGUAUGCUUUAGGAGGCGCCAAAUUGUUUGCUGGUCUGUGAGUGGAUGGUUCCGUAAAGAUGGAUGCUAGCAGAUGCAUUAUUUUGCAAUUCUAUUUGAAGGGGGCGAGAUCUGCAAAGGGACCAAGCUGUGGCAUUGGUAGGUGUAAAAAUACCUCGAUGGAUUUUGGAACUUCUGUGGCACCUUAUUCUUAGAGGUUUCUAGUUUGUUGAUUUUAGUUGGCUUUGAUUCCCUUGCCUUGGAGAUUUGUGUGUGAUCACUUUUUAGGCAAGUUUGUGUGAUUACACAUUCUCUUUUCUUCUCUUCUUUUCUCCCACCCAAAAAAGAGUACUUCAAGAUGCAACUUGGUAUAAUAUUAAUUCGGGCAACUUGGGUAUGACUGUAUAAUACAUACUUCUGACUGAUUUGUGGAGACAACUAGUUUAGUAGUUUUCCCACUAGUUUUUUAAAGAUGAUUCUGUAACUGACUCACAACCACUAGUUUUCACACUAGUUUUUCUUUUGGUGGUGACAUAUUGAGAGCGCAAUUUUAGUGAGUUCUGCAAAUGGUCUUUUUAA